CCCAUCUCAGGGUCACGCCUGGAGAGUUCCCAGUACUCUACCAGUCUCAAAUGCAGGAGGGAGAGUCAAGCAGAGGCAUAUUCAUUCCAUUCCUAGCUUGGCCAGUGGCUAGUGUGUGGAAGGCACUCUGCUACAAGU